rnacentral:rRNA from 1 species
GAAGCGAACCUGCGAAGGCAAGCGGAUCUCUUAAAGCCGUUCUCAGUUUGGACUGUAGGCUGCAACUCGCCUACACGAAGCUGGAAUCGCUAGUAAUCGCGGAUCAGCACGCCGCGGUGAAUACGUUCCCGGGCCUUGUACACACCGCCCGUCACACCAUGAGAGUCUGUAACACCCAAAGCCGGUGGGAUAACCUUUAUAGGAGUCAGCCGUCUAAGGUAGGACAGAUGAUUAGGGUGAAGUCGUAACAAGGUACC